ACAUGCAAGUCGAACGCUUUGUGGUUCAACUGAUUUGAAGAGCUUGCUCAGAUAUGACGAUGGACAUUGCAAAGAGUGGCGAACGGGUGAGUAACACGUGGGAAACCUACCUCUUAGCAGGGGAUAACAUUUGGAAACAGAUGCUAAUACCGUAUAACAAUGACAACCGCAUGGUUGUUAUUUAAAAGAUGGUUCUGCUAUCACUAAGAGAUGGUCCCGCGGUGCAUUAGCUAGUUGGUAAGGUAAUGGCUUACCAAGGCGAUGAUGCAUAGCCGAGUUGAGAGACUGAUCGGCCACAAUGGGACUGAGACACGGCCCAUACUCCUACGGGAGGCAGCAGUAGGGAAUCUUCCACAAUGGGCGAAAGCCUGAUGGAGCAACGCCGCGUGUGUGAUGAAGGGUUUCGGCUCGUAAAACACUGUUGUAAGAGAAGAAUGACAUUGAGAGUAACUGUUCAAUGUGUGACGGUAUCUUACCAGAAAGGAACGGCUAAAUACGUGCCAGCAGCCGCGGUAAUACGUAUGUUCCAAGCGUUAUCCGGAUUUAUUGGGCGUAAAGCGAGCGCAGACGGUUAUUUAAGUCUGAAGUGAAAGCCCUCAGCUCAACUGAGGAAUUGCUUUGGAAACUGGAUGACUUGAGUGCAGUAGAGGAAAGUGGAACUCCAUGUGUAGCGGUGAAAUGCGUAGAUAUAUGGAAGAACACCAGUGGCGAAGGCGGCUUUCUGGACUGUAACUGACGUUGAGGCUCGAAAGUGUGGGUAGCAAACAGGAUUAGAUACCCUGGUAGUCCACACCGUAAACGAUGAGUGCUAGGUGUUUGAGGGUUUCCGCCCUUAAGUGCCGCAGCUAACGCAUUAAGCACUCCGCCUGGGGAGUACGACCGCAAGGUUGAAACUCAAAGGAAUUGACGGGGACCCGCACAAGCGGUGGAGCAUGUGGUUUAAUUCGAAGCAACGCGAAGAACCUUACCAGGUCUUGACAUCCCUUGACAACUCCAGAGAUGGAGCGUUCCCUUCGGGGACAAGGUGACAGGUGGUGCAUGGUUGUCGUCAGCUCGUGUCGUGAGAUGUUGGGUUAAGUCCCGCAACGAGCGCAACCCUUAUUACUAGUUGCCAGCAUUCAGUUGGGCACUCUAGUGAGACUGCCGGUGACAAACCGGAGGAAGGUGGGGAUGACGUCAAAUCAUCAUGCCCCUUAUGACCUGGGCUACACACGUGCUACAAUGGCGUAUACAACGAGUUGCCAACCCGCGAGGGUGAGCUAAUCUCUUAAAGUACGUCUCAGUUCGGAUUGUAGGCUGCAACUCGCCUACAUGAAGUCGGAAUCGCUAGUAAUCGCGGAUCAGCACGCCGCGGUGAAUACGUUCCCGGGUCUUGUACACACCGCCCGUCACACCAUGAGAGUUUGUAACACCCAAAGCCGGUGGGGUAACCUUCGGGAGCCAGCCGUCUAAGG
rnacentral:rRNA from 1 species